ensembl:misc_RNA Metazoa_SRP Metazoan signal recognition particle RNA
GCUGGGUGUGGUGGUGCAUACCUGUAGUCCCAGUUACUUGGGAAGCUGAGGUGGGAGGAUCACUUGAGCCCAGGAGAUGGAGGUUACAGUGAGCCGAGAUCAUGCCACUGCACUUCAGCCUGGGCAACAGAGCAAGACCCCGUCUCCA